AGAGUUUGAUCCUGGCUCAGGACGAACGCUGGCGGCGUGCCUAAUACAUGCAAGUCGAGCGAAUCGACGGGAGCUUGCUCCCUGAGAUUAGCGGCGGACGGGUGAGUAACACGUGGGCAACCUGCCUAUAAGACUGGGAUAACUUCGGGAAACCGGAGCUAAUACCGGAUACGUUCUUUUCUCGCAUGAGAGAAGAUGGAAAGACGGUUUACGCUGUCACUUAUAGAUGGGCCCGCGGCGCAUUAGCUAGUUGGUGAGGUAAUGGCUCACCAAGGCGACGAUGCGUAGCCGACCUGAGAGGGUGAUCGGCCACACUGGGACUGAGACACGGCCCAGACUCCUACGGGAGGCAGCAGUAGGGAAUCUUCCGCAAUGGACGAAAGUCUGACGGAGCAACGCCGCGUGAACGAAGAAGGCCUUCGGGUCGUAAAGUUCUGUUGUUAGGGAAGAACAAGUACCAGAGUAACUGCUGGUACCUGACGGU
rnacentral:rRNA from 1 species